rnacentral:misc_RNA from 3 species
CAACCCCUAAGCACAGCUUAUUGUUGGGAAUCUACGGUCUAGUAGUUCCUCAAAGACAUUGGCGGAGUGGCAGCAGUCCUCUGAGCGUAGUAAUUUUUUAUCUCGCUUCUGUUAGGCGCUGUCCCCCCGGCCGUUAAACCCCCAAUUUUUUCU